ensembl:lncRNA
CGGCUGUUUGCUGUGUACCAUCAGGUACGGCGAGUGCUGCGGGUUGCGGGAUGAUGUGGGAUGUUGCGCACUGUGUAAACACAGUGACCACAGGGGAAAUGCUCUCACCCCACCGGCAUCUGUCUAAAUUUAGCUGCUGUUAGGUCAUCCCUUUCCGCUGGCUCAUUCUUGAUGCUGCAAGGCGCAGUGCCUGUCUGUGUGCCGUACCUGCCCUGAGCCCCUGCACUGUGCCUGCCUGCUCCGACGGCCUGAUGGGGCCGGCUGGAAGCAUACGGGUCAGGGAGCACCUGCCCUAUUGGGGCCUUUCAGCAUCUGCAGGAAAGACAGGGAGAGUCUCUGCCAGGGGGUGUAGUGAGAGGACAAGGGGUAAUGGUAUUAAACUAAAAACGGUCCACUCUGCACAGCUCUACACGGCUCCGCAUGUCUUUGCACGGCUCCGCAUGGGUCUGCACGGCUCUUGCUCUGAUGCCUGCAUCCUCUAGAGGGAACUGUGUUCCCGUGCAUGGGCUGUUGCAAACCACAUGCACUCCCAAUGCUGGGCGUGGUGGAGCAGAGGGGUGGAACAGCGUGGGGAUUGCACACAGCCCCAGGGCAAGGGCUCAUCAGUGUGUUCGGGUUCAUCUUGGACAUCGGGCUGGCCUUGCUGAUCCUGAUCAUUUCUGGCUACGCCGUUUUCCUUUGCUACCAGCAGGGCUGGUGCUGGUGCCGCCCUGACUUCAUCUUCAACCUCUACCAUGGCCGCAGGCUGAGGUCGGUAGCAGUGGAGCUGGCACCUCCAUUCAGCAUCAGUGCCUCUGUGAGCCAGGCAGGGAACGGCUACGUGCGCUUCCAUGAGCAGGGGCUGUGAGCAGCAGGGCAUGGUCCUGCUCCUUGUGUGUGGGGUCCCAGCCUCAUGGAGAUUCUGCAGAGCCUGGAGCAGCAUGCAUGGGGCCUUCCCAUGGUGGUGAGUGUGAUGCAUCCCAAAGCUUUCUGCACCCCAGAGCCUCCUUCCCCUCCUGUAGCUCUGACUGUGGCUUUCCCUGGGAGAGUCCCAAGGAUUUUCCUCUGAAAGUCCUCUCCAAAGCAGUGAGGGAGGAGGGGCUGGAAUGUGACAUGCUCCCUGUGCCUGCAUGGCACUAGCAGCUUCUCCUUGCUGCCUCUUCCACCCACCAGCAGCCACAGACAGAAGAACAGAACUGGCCAUGGGGAAAUUCCUCUAUGCUAGGUUAAAGAACAACUCCCAGAUACGCGGGAUUUCUACUAAAUUUGGAGCAGUGCUGUUUCUGUAUUUUUAUCAAGCUUCUCCAUUCUCUGCUGCGUUUCCUUCUCUGCCCCCGUUGGCCUUGGGCAGGGCUGGAAGAGGGCCACUGCUGGGCAUGGGCUCAGCCUCCAUCUCUUGAAGUGCAGGAAAAAGGGCGCUGCUUCAUCCCAAGCACCCACCCUGCAGAGCAAAGCGACCCUACGUUCCCCACUAAUCUGACAUUCCGGUGCUUGGGACCCCAGUUUGCCCAGCAGACCUUGGGGCAGGAGUAUGAGGAACCAGCCCAAAAGUGUGGCAAGGAGCCACAGAAAUGGAUGGCUGACUGUGCAAGAGGGGAAAACGCUGUAAGGAAAUGAGAGCACUUCAGGCUUCCCUUAGUUGAGGGACUGCACCCAUAUGGAAAUUUCUCCAGUUUGUACCGACUGUGCAAGAGAACACUCCAGAAAUCCCCUGUGGGUUUCCUCGAGGCUUUCUGGUGUGGGUCUCAGCAGCCCAGUGCUGGGCUGUUGGGCACAGCAGGAUAGGUCCCCAUGGGGAUGAGCUGUAUGGGGCAGCUCUGAGCCCAGCAUGGCUCUGCCCCUCCAUGGGCUGCCCUCUGCUGCCUCCAUCCCCUCGGAGCCUCACACCCCCGGCACGGGGCUCUGUGGGUGGGGGAUCUGUUGGAAAUGCUUUGGAAAUGUUGGAGCAUCAUUGGGAAUGCAUUGAGGUGUCAGUGCUGGGGAGGAAAGGGGUCUUUACAGGAGCAGCCCUCCCUCCCCCUCCCCCCCCCUCUAGGGCAGGGGGCCGAGAUGUGACGCUACGCACUGCAUGGAGAGGAAGGGGGAGGAAAAAGCUUUCUGCAGAAGGAAUGGAAGAGGAACAACCUCAGCGUGUUGGGCUGUGACUUCACCAAGGAAAAUGUGAGCGCCUGUAGUUUCCCGGAGCCAAAGGGGCUGUCCGUGCUCUCUGCUUUUGAAGCCAAAGCGUGAGGUUUUCUGGCAAAGCCAUCUGUUUCACUGAGAGCUCACUGUGGGGCGGGG